rnacentral:rRNA from 1 species
UUAAGCGACUAAGCGUACACGGUGGAUGCCCUGGCAGUCAGAGGCGAUGAAGGACGUGCUAAUCUGCGAUAAGCGUCGGUAAGGUGAUAUGAACCGUUAUAACCGGCGAUUUCCGAAUGGGGAAACCCAGUGUGUUUCGACACACUAUCAUUAACUGAAUCCAUAGGUUAAUGAGGCGAACCGGGGGAACUGAAACAUCUAAGUACCCCGAGGAAAAGAAAUCAACCGAGAUUCCCCCAGUAGCGGCGAGCGAACGGGGAGGAGCCCAGAGCCUGAAUCAGUGUGUGUGUUAGUGGAAGCGUCUGGAAAGGCGCGCGAUACAGGGUGACAGCCCCGUACACAAAAAUGCACAUGCUGUGAGCUCGAUGAGUAGGGCGGGACACGUGGUAUCCUGUCUGAAUAUGGGGGGACCAUCCUCCAAGGCUAAAUACUCCUGACUGACCGAUAGUGAACCAGUACCGUGAGGGAAAGGCGAAAAGAACCCCGGCGAGGGGAGUGAAAAAGAACCUGAAACCGUGUACGUACAAGCAGUGGGAGCACGCUUAGGCGUGUGACUGCGUACCUUUUGUAUAAUGGGUCAGCGACUUAUAUUCUGUAGCAAGGUUAACCGAAUAGGGGAGCCGAAGGGAAACCGAGUCUUAACUGGGCGUUAAGUUGCAGGGUAUAGACCCGAAACCCGGUGAUCUAGCCAUGGGCAGGUUGAAGGUUGGGUAACACUAACUGGAGGACCGAACCGACUAAUGUUGAAAAAUUAGCGGAUGACUUGUGGCUGGGGGUGAAAGGCCAAUCAAACCGGGAGAUAGCUGGUUCUCCCCGAAAGCUAUUUAGGUAGCGCCUCGUGAAUUCAUCUCCGGGGGUAGAGCACUGUUUCGGCAAGGGGGUCAUCCCGACUUACCAACCCGAUGCAAACUGCGAAUACCGGAGAAUGUUAUCACGGGAGACACACGGCGGGUGCUAACGUCCGUCGUGAAGAGGGAAACAACCCAGACCGCCAGCUAAGGUCCCAAAGUCAUGGUUAAGUGGGAAACGAUGUGGGAAGGCCCAGACAGCCAGGAUGUUGGCUUAGAAGCAGCCAUCAUUUAAAGAAAGCGUAAUAGCUCACUGGUCGAGUCGGCCUGCGCGGAAGAUGUAACGGGGCUAAACCAUGCACCGAAGCUGCGGCAGCGACGCUUAUGCGUUGUUGGGUAGGGGAGCGUUCUGUAAGCCUGUGAAGGUGUGCUGUGAGGCAUGCUGGAGGUAUCAGAAGUGCGAAUGCUGACAUAAGUAACGAUAAAGCGGGUGAAAAGCCCGCUCGCCGGAAGACCAAGGGUUCCUGUCCAACGUUAAUCGGGGCAGGGUGAGUCGACCCCUAAGGCGAGGCCGAAAGGCGUAGUCGAUGGGAAACAGGUUAAUAUUCCUGUACUUGGUGUUACUGCGAAGGGGGGACGGAGAAGGCUAUGUUGGCCGGGCGACGGUUGUCCCGGUUUAAGCGUGUAGGCUGGUUUUCCAGGCAAAUCCGGAAAAUCAAGGCUGAGGCGUGAUGACGAGGCACUACGGUGCUGAAGCAACAAAUGCCCUGCUUCCAGGAAAAGCCUCUAAGCAUCAGGUAACAUCAAAUCGUACCCCAAACCGACACAGGUGGUCAGGUAGAGAAUACCAAGGCGCUUGAGAGAACUCGGGUGAAGGAACUAGGCAAAAUGGUGCCGUAACUUCGGGAGAAGGCACGCUGAUAUGUAGGUGAAGCGACUUGCUCGUGGAGCUGAAAUCAGUCGAAGAUACCAGCUGGCUGCAACUGUUUAUUAAAAACACAGCACUGUGCAAACACGAAAGUGGACGUAUACGGUGUGACGCCUGCCCGGUGCCGGAAGGUUAAUUGAUGGGGUCAGCGCAAGCGAAGCUCUUGAUCGAAGCCCCGGUAAACGGCGGCCGUAACUAUAACGGUCCUAAGGUAGCGAAAUUCCUUGUCGGGUAAGUUCCGACCUGCACGAAUGGCGUAAUGAUGGCCAGGCUGUCUCCACCCGAGACUCAGUGAAAUUGAACUCGCUGUGAAGAUGCAGUGUACCCGCGGCAAGACGGAAAGACCCCGUGAACCUUUACUAUAGCUUGACACUGAACAUUGAGCCUUGAUGUGUAGGAUAGGUGGGAGGCUUUGAAGUGUGGACGCCAGUCUGCAUGGAGCCGACCUUGAAAUACCACCCUUUAAUGUUUGAUGUUCUAACGUUGACCCGUAAUCCGGGUUGCGGACAGUGUCUGGUGGGUAGUUUGACUGGGGCGGUCUCCUCCUAAAGAGUAACGGAGGAGCACGAAGGUUGGCUAAUCCUGGUCGGACAUCAGGAGGUUAGUGCAAUGGCAUAAGCCAGCUUGACUGCGAGCGUGACGGCGCGAGCAGGUGCGAAAGCAGGUCAUAGUGAUCCGGUGGUUCUGAAUGGAAGGGCCAUCGCUCAACGGAUAAAAGGUACUCCGGGGAUAACAGGCUGAUACCGCCCAAGAGUUCAUAUCGACGGCGGUGUUUGGCACCUCGAUGUCGGCUCAUCACAUCCUGGGGCUGAAGUAGGUCCCAAGGGUAUGGCUGUUCGCCAUUUAAAGUGGUACGCGAGCUGGGUUUAGAACGUCGUGAGACAGUUCGGUCCCUAUCUGCCGUGGGCGCUGGAGAACUGAGGGGGGCUGCUCCUAGUACGAGAGGACCGGAGUGGACGCAUCACUGGUGUUCGGGUUGUCAUGCCAAUGGCACUGCCCGGUAGCUAAAUGCGGAAGAGAUAAGUGCUGAAAGCAUCUAAGCACGAAACUUGCCCCGAGAUGAGUUCUCCCUGACCCUUUAAGGGUCCUGAAGGAACGUUGAAGACGACGACGUUGAUAGGCCGGGUGUGUAAGCGCAGCGAUGCGUUGAGCUAACCGGUACUAAUGAACCGUGAGGCUUAACCUU